CUUAUCUUACGAAAAAAGCUUUCAUCCCACUUUAUAAAUAAAGCAACCACGAAGUACAAAGUCAACAAGGUAACAUCCGAACAACACACAUACACAACGCCACCGUGGGCAAAGGUCCAACACACACGCACAACUCACUCCACUGAUUCAGUUGUGGACACAUCACAACAAGCCAAAACAAACACAAGGGAUGCACAAACAAACAAGGCGGUGGCGACAAUGACUAGGGAGCUAAUCCGGCUCAGGUGGUGGUGGGGGAGGCGGUGGCGCCAUCCGGAGAGCCAUCGUGCGAAGCUGGGUGAUGAUGGAGGUGAUGUCAUCUCUCUCCCUAAGGCGGCUAAGCGGCCGCCAAAGCAGAGGGCUCUAGAUGCCACCUGGUCCGAUCAUUUUCCACAUUAAGCUCAGGCUCGUGCAACGCGAUGCAGUCGAGCAAGUCAUGCCAGACGACAUUCUCAUCUAGGCCAAAAGAACGUCAGAAGGCAAGCUGCCCUAAGUCAAUAAGGGUCAAUGCGACAGAGAUCCGCGGGUCAACCGCGAUGGAAAACAGGUCUGGAAAACGUGCUGCGAAGGGGCGUCGCCAGCCCUUGAUGAUGCAACAAAAUGUGGUCAUGAUCAUUAAAGAUUAUAAAUUUUUUUCUUCCGUUGCAACACACAGGCACUUUGAAUUUAAAACAUAUACAUGAGGUGGUACUAAUUCGGGAACCACGUCAGGUGCAAUCUGACUAUGCAUGCGGUGCCAGGCUAGCCCAAAACAAAUUGCAACCGGGCCGGAUCGACCUCCCGAAACACGCAAACAUGGAAUCUGACAAACGCGUGUUAUUUGGAUUGCACGCACAAGGAAACUAUACGUCUUCUUCCACGACAUAUAAAUUCCAACAGCGAACCAACAUUUCGUUCCGAUUGAAGGCAAGAAACCUCUUCGACAAGCUUAACCUGCCAUCGUCCUGUUUGCCUCAGCCCUCUCCGGACCGCCGGCCUUCGCCGCCCGAGCGAACACUACCACCGGCGGCCUCGCUCGACGGAGGACCCGCGAUCUCCAAAGAGCGAGUCGUUUGAGGCCUGGAGCUAGGUGCGGAGAAGGCCGGGACAAGGCCCUGGAGCUGGGGGCGGAGAAGGCCGGGACGAGGCGGCUGGGCUGACUGACAUAGCAGGUGGGCCGCGGCUGGACGAGGAGCAUGGCCUCCUCGCGAGCUGCGAGCAAAAAGAAGCAGUGAUGUUGACUCAAACAAAAAAACAGCGAGGAUGAGAGGCGCAUGAUCGGUCGGACCUGGGGGCAUGCUUGGCGCACGUGGUGGAAGGAGGCUGUGGCGUCUGUCUGAAUUGGGUCGGAGGCGAGGUUGUUUGCCGGAUUCGGAGCACUGGCGGGCGGCCAGAUGCCCAGAUCAGGGGACGGCAGAGGGGAGCUCCAAGGCGCCCAUCCAUGUCUGCGUGGCGGAUCCAGAUGCUCCGCGCGUGGAUCCGUCGGUGGACAGAUCGAGACGGAGAGGCGGCGACCUCCAUUGGCGGGUUCCCUGAAGAAAACGUGUGAGAGAUUAGAGAGAGAAAGGGAAGAAAGGAUGAGAGGGGGUGGGGUCGGGCGUCGGCCUUGGCCUGCUUGCGCGCGGCUGGAGGACGUGAGGCCUGUUGUGGCCAGAUCCGGAGCACGGGGCGACAACUGAGCGGGGGAGGCCAGAUCGAGCGACAGUAGAGGGAGCUCCAAAACGCAAUCCAUCCUCUGGUGGUGUUCCUCACCGGCAUAGAAGAGGGGAUUGCUGCCCUGGAUAGAGAAGAAGAGAAGGGAGAGCGUCAGGUGGAUGGAGAAGAAGGCCAUGUGUUUUGGAUAAGGGGACACGUAGUGGGAAGUGGGCGGUGGGUGUUGUCGCUACAUGUUCUGUUUGGACCGGAAGCUCCUGGAUUGCUAUGCAUGUGCACUCUUCUAAAAAAUGCUAUGCAUGUGUACCGAUUACUAUUUAUUUCCGAAGGAGCACACCCAUUAUAAUUACUUGCUGCUGUAUGUCAUAGUUUAAUAUUCAUGCCUACCACAUCUUAUAAAUACAUAUUAGAUAUAAUAAUAAAAAAUGAGUGAAAUAUGGAAAAGAAAUAAUAUUUCUUAAGGGAGAAGAUAUUUGGGGCUCACUGGUAUUUACUGACCAUCAAGAUAUUCCUUAGCUUUUGAAUGUCAUCUAUGUCUUGGUGAGAUAUAGGAAGGAGAGAUGGAGGGAUGAAGAGCAGAGAGAGUGUAAUAAUGGUGCAUCUUGCUCCCGUCCUGUUGUGCCCUGCACGACAUCUGGGAGGGGAGCACUCCCCUCCGUUGUACCAUCUACUCCAUCGAGGCCCGAUGAUAAUGACCAUGGAAGUGGUCAUGUUGGUGUGGAGGGUGUGCAAUAUUGACGGCAACGUGUCAACAAAAGAGCGUCAAGCAUUAUAAACUCUUUAUUUCCGGUCAUCAAAUUGUGGAAGUGGAAAAGUAUAACUAUAAAUUGAUGUUAAUAGGCAUUGUGAGAUGUAGAAAUUAAUAUAUGUUCUAUUAGAAGCUGCUACAGGUAUGUGAAUGAUGCACAAUUACUUAUCAUUGAAAAAGUAGUUGUUGAUCUAUCAGAUUAUUAAAUGUUAUUUUCUGUAAUUCUUUUUACGCAGGGUUGUUGAAUGUCAACAACUUAUUACAAAUAAUCCAUUUUUAUAGCGAGUUGAAGGUUUUAUUAGUAGAGAAGAAGAUUAUGAGCUUUUGGAAUUCAAUGGGAUCUUCAUGAAAUGGAUCCUUAUGAGUCUUAUAACCAAUUUAAUUGGAAAAUCGUAUAUUCACCAUGAUAGAUAAACAACGACACCAACUUUCAGAUUUAUUUUAUACCCGUUGCAACGCACGGGCACUUUUGCUAGUGAGACCAAUACCUCGAUCAGCCUCCAUUUACAGAAAAUAAUAAUAUAAUACUUCCUUCCUCUCAAUAUGAGACAAUAUACAUGCUUAUUUUGUACAAGUACUUCGGUGGAUCGUUCUUGUGAUGUCUUUCUUCCUAUGUGUAUGCUGCAUCUCCGCUCUUAUAGAUACCUUAUUUAUUUUCCAACCAUGUUCGAGUCGUCCACUUUCACUGUUCAUCUUCUUCUUCGUCGGUUUCAGUCCUAUUGCACUCUAAGCUUCCAAUCUUCUUUCAUCGCCUUCUUUCUCUAUUUAUUUUCUCGAUUGUUGUUUAUUUCAAUUUUUAAAAUUAGAAUCAACUUCAACAGAAAUCUCCUUCAUACCAGAAGUCUUAUUUCGCUUGAAAAGAUGUUGAUGCUAUUGCAUUUGUUAGGAUUCAGCAUUUGUUUUAGUGUAGAUUUAAAAUAUUAUGUGAAAACAAUUUGAAAAUUUUCAUGAAUUUGGUAAAUGGUCACGAGUUUAAUAAAUCUUCGUGGUUUUUAAUGAAAAAAAAUCAUAAAUUUGAUAAAAAACUCAUAAGUUAUAAAAAGACCGUGAAGUUGAAAAAGAAUCAUGGAUUUCAAAAGAGUUUGCGGAUUUGAAAAAUCUGCUUGAUUAAAGAAAUUGCGAUAUGAAAAAAGUUCAUGAAUUUAGGAAAAGAUUGUAAAUAUGAAUAGAAUCACAUAUCUGAAAAGGUUUGCAGAAUUGAAAAAAGUUUGCAUAUUUGAUUUUAUUUGCAUAUUUAUUUUUCUCCACAUAUUUAAAAAAGUUCAUAAAAAACAAAUAAGAAAAUAUCAAAAGAAAAACCAAGAAAAAAAUAAAAAGAAAACAAAAAACUACCCGGAAGGUUCCCAAAACUGGAUCGGAAGGUUCUGAUAGGGAAUCAUCCCAAUAGGCUGUUUAAAAACACAACGAACGCAAAGUGUUGGGGAUAUGACCGCACAAUGUAACAAUGAAGUCUUAGAUAGGCCCAAGAGACCAUGACAUGAAGCCAGGGAGGCAACUUACGAGGUGGGCCGGAUGGAGGCCCAAGGCAAGAAGACGGUGCAUGACCCGGAAGUGUAAGCCGCCCGAUGGCGAAUUGCCAAAGAAGGCAAGGCGAUUUGGAUCCAGGAUCAGCUACGAAGUAUAACCUGACCCGGACUCUUGUAAGCCCAGGGCCUCGACCUGCGUAUAUAAAGGCGAGUCCCUGCAGCAGGUUCAACUUAAGUUACAAUCAAUUGAUAGCUAGGUUAGGCGAAUCCACUCCCUUGUAAUCGAUACUCAAGCAAUAGUAACAAGAGCAUGAGUAGGCUUUUACCUCCAUCGUGAGGGGCCGAACCUGGGUAAACUCGUGUCCUUCAUCCCGCUCAACCCCUUCAGGCUAAUCACAGUAGAGAUGGCCUCACACCAAAGUCCUUUCACUAGGACAUCUGCCGUGUUAACCCAACGACAGUUGGUGCACACCGUAGGGCCAGCGCACGGUAGUUUCGAGUUCUUGAAGGGCUCUUUCCCAUGGAUUGAGGGGUACGCCGUUGGCCGGAUGAUCAAGAGUCGCUGCGGCAAGCUGUACAUCGCUGAUGUUGGCUGGGGCCCCGAGGCCGACUCAAUCGAGUAUGGGUAUCGGGUCCCCUUCGGCGGAAUCCACGUCUUCAUCGGCCAAAUCGGCGGAUCAGAGCCUGAGCCGGACAUCUGUGUCGACAUCAUCGAGUCAGCUCAGCGCACGCAACCCGCCCGGGUCCAAGCCGGGCGUAGGCAUGCUUUCAUGGGCUUCACGCAAGGGAUGGAACUUGCGGAAGAUUCUGCUUCUGAGGGAGUUACUCUCGUCUACUCAGGUAAUGAGUCCUCAACCGGGGAGACAGAGUCAAUCUAUCAGCUUCAAGAUGGCGGACUUGGGAGCUAUUCUGAUGGUGACAGUAUUCCGGACCCCUAUGAGCCGUCGUGCAGGGCUACUAUCUUCAUGGCUGGGACAGGGCCAACUCUCAAUUCUUCAACAGCGGUUGCGACAGCCUCUAACCCGGCCGCGGCAAGGGCUGGUGGAUCCGAGUCGGGCAGGCCACCGACUCAAGUACUACUGGAUCUCAUGAAUACCUUGACAGCUUUGUUAGCAGCUGAGGUCACUGCAGCGAAUCAAGCAAAGCGCAACGCAGAGGUCGCAAAAGAUUUGUGAGGAGAUAACCAAGGCCUAGGAGGAUAUUGUGGCUGAGAACUACCAAACCGUUGCACUAAAGGCUUAGAUUGACGCAGAGGUAGAGCAUAUUAAGGCGGAUGCUUGGCGUUUAAGUUUGGAUCAGAACACGUCUAAUGCAGUAUUCCAGAAAAGGUACCAGAGUCGCCUACCACCAACGCAUGACCCAAGACGUUUGUUUGACACUCCUGGGGCAGGUCCAAGCACUCCAGAUGCACUGGUGAAUCCUCAGUUAAACCCGGAUAUGCUAGGGAAUCGGGCGGCGGCUCAACCUCGGCAGCCUGAGCCGGCACGAAGGGAGGAGCGGGCGCCUAACCCGCCCCCGAUCAGACACCGUCUCCACGUGUCCUAACGCCACCCAGGCACUUUUCUAACCCGGCUAGCGGCGAUUCCAAUUAGCAGUGAGUCACCAGUCGCGGUUGAAACUCGGAAUGCAGUUGAGCUCUUACAGACAACCAUUGCACAACAAGCGGCGUAUUCAUACAGCCAUGAUCGUGUGCACUCGACUCCCCUCCCCUCCCCUCCCGAGUCAUAGUUAUAGCCGGCGUAUUGAGUCGCUCGCAGUCUCCAGCAGUGAAAGGCAUCGGAACAUGGCCCAGGUUAACUUGCCCGAUCCUCAAAGCGCGGCUCAAGCGAUUGUGGAUGCGGCCAGGGCCCGUCGAGAGGCGGAAGCAGCAAACCAGGGGGCUUACGAGUCACCCCCUGCGAUCCCUUCAGCUUCGACCGAAGUUGGGGUGAGCAUUAGAAGUCUCAGAGUGUCGUGUUUGGUGUUAGCUUUGCGUAAUGAGCGUCUGCCCAAAGAUUUGAAGGGUCCUCGCAAGAUACGUAAUUAUACAGCAAACCUCCCCCUAGAAGCUUGGAUUGAGAGUUAUGAGCUAGCAUGGAUUUGUUAGACAUCAGUGAUGCUGUUUGUGCCAAGUAUUUCACCAUGAUGUUGGAAGGGCCUGCCCGCACGUGGUUAAAGGGCUUGUUGCCCAAUUCUAUUAACUCGUGGGCCGAGUUAAAGGCGUGUUUUAUCAAAAAAAUCAAGGGACAUGCAAGCAGCCUCUAACGAUUGUGGAUCUGGAUCACUGCAUGCAGCAUGAGGAUGAGUCAGCUCGCCAUUGGGCCCAGCGGGUCUCCGCUAUUAUUCACUCGUCUGAUAGAUUGCGGCGGGUCAGGAGGUCCUGAUCUUAGAGAAGAACUGUCACUUCGCCCCCCUUAAGCAGAAGCUCGGGCGGCUCAAGCAUUAUUGCAACGACAUGGGCGACCUCAUGGAGGCUCUCACUAAGUAUGCAGACUCUGAUAACACAAAGGACCCCAGCUCUGAUGAUGAGAAAUCCAACAAGGCAAAGAAGAAUGGCAAUGGUAAGGGUCAGCAGCAGAAUAUGGCAAGGCAUAAUGGCAAUAGCCAGGGUAAUGGUGGUAAGCAGAGGAACCCCGAUGGUGGGUCAGAUCUAGUGGCUAACACCAACACUGCGUACAAAAACCAGCGCCGCAACAGUAAUGGUAAGCCGCCUUUUGGCGGAGCAAAGCCUUUUAAUCUUGAGGCGAUGCUUAAUGAGCCUUUCCCGAAACAUAGUUUUCCCAACAAGUCAUCCACUCAUGCUUGGAAGGAUUGUUAUGUUAAGCGGGAGUUCAAGAAUUACAGCCUUAACCACCAUCACGAUAGUGGCAAUGGGCCACCUGGCGGGUCAGGAUCCGGGUCUCAAGGGUCCGACUUUGGUGGUGGUAGCUCAAAUUCUGGUUAUCAGGGUCAAGGCGGUCAUAAUCAGCAGUCUGGUCAGGGCAACCAAUAGAAAAAUAAUCAGUCAGGAUACCAGAGUAAUCCAAAACAUCUUAAUGGAUGUCAAUACCAUGUUUUCACUACAAGUCUUUGCAAACGAGACCAGAAGGUUCAUAAGCAGGCGGUUCAUGCAGUAGAGCUGGUUGUUCCGCAAUAUUUGAGAUGGUCUGAGCACACGAUAUCGUGGAGCAGGGUAGAUCACCCACCACGGGUUGAUAACCAGGGUCACUUAGCCCUUGUGGUGGCCCCCAGGUAGGUGGCUAUAAAUUCACUAAGGUACUUAUGGAUGGUGGUAGCAGCAUCAACAUCUUAUAUUAUGAUAAUUUUCGCCAUAUGAGUCUGACUGACAAGAAUCUCAAGCUAUCCUCCAUAGUUUUCCAUAGUGUCAUGUCUAGUAAGUUGGCUUACCCUGUUGGAAAGAUAUCACUAGAAGUGGCUUUUGGUGACAAGUAUAAUUAUAGAGCAGAGACGAUGUGGUUUGAGGUGGUCAAGAUCAAGAGUCUGUAUCAUGCUCUAUUUGGACGACCGGCUUAUGCUAAGUUUAUGGCCCACCCUUGUUACAUUUACCUACAACUUAAGAUGCCAGGGCCAAACGAAACAAUUACAGUACAUGGUGAUCGGAAAGUCGCCCUGGAGUGUGAGCAAGGAGAUGCAGCCUACAAGAGAAGACAAGGUAAAAUGUGCUCUUUAUUAGUUCAACAAUUAUUCAUAUAAGAGCCACUCAAAAUUUUAAUCGUGGUCUUCUCCUUGGCGCAACUCGAAUAAAAAGAAAAGAAAUUCAGAUAAACACACUGAAAUAUUUUUGAAGUUUUUGGUUUUCUUUAACAAGCAAAAAGGGAAAAGCAAAUACAAGAAAAACUAUUUACACGGGAAAGCUCCCAACAAGCAAAAGAAGAACAAGGAUAUCUUUUUGGAUUUUCUUUUUAGUACUACUACUAAGCAUGCAUAGAAACUAAAUUAACUACAACUAAUUUUUUGGCUUUUCUGAAGUUUUUCAAACACCAAGAAGAAAGCAUGAAAAUAAAUUUAAGCAUGGAUGAUACAAUGAAAAAGUGUGAACACCGACAAAUGGAAUAAGUGGACAUGAAUGUAAUGUCGGUGAGAGACACGUACUCCCCCAAGCUUAGGCUUUUGGCCUAAGUUGGUACGAUCAGUAGCCUGGAGGGUAGUAGUCGGCGUGGUAGCUCACGGAGGCUCUCGGUGCGGAUGCCUCAGCACGCUGUGCCACCACCAGUGUUGCAUUAUUAGCUCGGCCACGCUCUCAAGAACAAAAUAUCUUCCUUUGCUGUUAUAAUCAAAAAGAGCAGUCGCAGGCAAAUAUGUGUCCACAAUAGAUUUUUGGUUAAACAUUAGAUUGUAAGUGAAAUUAUCAACCUUUCCCUUAAGGAUCUUGUGUUCUUUCAAAGUGUCAAAAUCAAAAUACUGCGUGGGUAGGAUAGGAUCAAAGGGCAAAGGCGAAACACCCAGCUCUUGUGUUAAACAUGUGGCAUAAAUUCCACCAUACACUACUGUAGGAUGCUGCUAACGCGACACUAUGAUCAGAGACCCUUCGACAAAACUGUGUGCGAUGCCAUAAUCGCAAACGGUGGUGUAAAAUAACCGUAAAAAAAGGUGCUAAACGUUUGCGAUGGAGGAUGCAUCAAACACGGUUUAGAUUUUAGUUGCGUGUGCGAUGUAGGGCAUACGGUUCACCUCAAUUAACUGUUUGCGAUGAGGAGGAACAAAAGAAAUGGGCAGCCAGAUGAAGGCGUGUGCGAUAUAAAACAUAUGGUUCACUGGGAUGAACUGUGUGUGAUUAGGCAACACAAAAGAAACGGUCAUCCCGAUCAAGGUUUGUGCGAUAUACAGCAUACGGUUCACUCGGAUGAACUAUUUGUGAUUAGGCAAGAGAACAGAAACGGUUCAAUAUAACAAGAUGUGUGUGAUACGCGACAAACAAGUCUGUAAUUAUAAAUGUGUGCGAAGACCGAUAAUAACGCAGACGAUUGCUUCUAAUAAGACAUAUGUGAUAUGCUCUAUCUACACAACAUCUAUGGCCAUUGUGGGAUGGGCGACCAUCCGAAUACGCCAUAAGGAUGUGAAGAGGCAUUCCUAUCAGCAAGGACUAGCUGUUCCACCAGUAGCUCAUGUAAGAAAACUAUCAAGUUAAGUGUGCUCAGGCUGGAGCAGCCAUCGGAUGUGUGACUGGAUGGGAAGUUGUGCUCAGCUAAUCUAACCUCAAGGUCCUUGUUUUUUUAAAACAUGUUAAAGAAGGUCUACCGCAUUACUUUUUGACAAUGUGCGAUAUGUGGCAUACAGUUGAUUCAUCCGACCUAUUUGUGAUGGAAUAGGCCAUGUGUGUUGUGGGCAAACACUUGCUAGUAUUCAACUAUUUGGGAUUGAUGAAUUCAUCACCGCCGGGUUCCCUAGUGUGGUCCGUUUUCAUCUGAUCAUGAUCUACUUCUUGUGCUAGCUCGAUGCUAAGUUUCCAUUAAUUGAUGGCAUUUUAUGAACACGCCACCGUUUCCCGCCAUUUCCUCACCUGUUUUUCGCCACCCUGCUAUAUUGUGCAUAGGGGGCGCGGGACGCAUAGAGGCGACAAGUGCAGCCUGUAGCAUAUCCACCUUUUCCAAGCAUGCCAACCCACCAAAGUGCUGCCUCUGCCAUCAACCUCGUCGACGAGGAAAACGAGCAGGCGCCACGGCCCGUCGAGGCCGAGGCGCUCUCGGCAACGCGAUGGAUGACGUCGUGAUGCGCGUCAUCGCCAGGGUUGAGCAGACCUUUGGCGCAUGCUUGAGCGCCGCGGAUAAAGAUAGGCAUGUCAGCGCCGACAAGCUGCAGCUCGCCGCACAACAUGAUCGAUGGCGCGCCGUAGAGCAAGCUAGGCGCGUCCGCACAGAUGGCUGCGGCUCGCCGCACAGCGAGACCGUUGGAGCGCUGCAGAGCGAGAGGCGCGGCGCGCCGCACAGCAAGAGCGGAUCAAGCGGCGCUUUCCUACUAUCGACACGGUGUCGCAAGUGGGUACACGUCCCAUCAGUACACCCAUUCCUUGCCAGGAGUGGGAAGAGUCCCUCAGCGCCGUACUUGCACCAGAGGCCGGCCGUGCCGUACUUGCACCGGAUGCCCGCCGCGCCAUUCACAUGGGUGCCGCCGUUCGCCUUGUGCGCGGCCUGCUAGAUGCCAACGUGCUGGUCCGUAGGCUCGACCGCCUCCUUGGCCCAGGUGUCCACCUGGGCGUAGUAGUUGAACAUGGCCGUCCCAUCCUCGAGCUGGCGAUCUUCGAUGAAAUAGCCAACUUGAAGCUCGAGAUCGCGCUCCAGAUGUACCGCGAGCGUGUCAGCCGCUUGGACGAACACCUGCAUGAGUUCAGGCAGAGCCAAGAGCUACCCUAGGCAAGGGCUGCUGGUCAUGGUCUCAUGGACGCAUUUUAUUUUGAAAAGUCGUUUCGACGUGGAUAGCUAUGUAUUCACAGCAAUCAUAGUAUUGCUCUGUUUCAAUGUGUGUACUCUAUUUUCCAUUCUUAUAUGUUUUGUUUCAAUGUGUGUAUAUACGUUUUUCAUUCUGUAUAUGUGGAUGAUAACAGCUAGAUUCAAAUUAGUAUACAAAAAUAGAUAGAAAAUGGAAUUCAUAAUAUAUAUUAAUUGUUCAUUAGAUCAUUACAGAAUAUAUAUAUAUAUAUAUAUAUAUAUAUAUAUAUAUAUAUAUAUAUAUAUAAUAUUAUCACAUAUACAUGAUGAUACUUAACUACUAGCUACAAUGCAUAAAAUUGAAAACGAUCAAUACUAAAACUAAUAAUCCCUCCUGGGCUAGUAUUCCGGCAGCCCCUCGCCAGCAGCUCCCUGGUGCGCGGCGUCUUCCCAGUGCGGAGGCAGUACUCCAACUCCUCCGCCUCGCAGCACUUGACGUAUCGAUCUGCCUCUUGCCGACGGACGUGCGCAGCCAAUCUUGCCGUUUCGUUGGGCGCCCACCGGAGCUCCUCUUUAGUGGCACACUGGAGCUUAUCGGCCCACCUCCACACAGCGACGAGGCUCCCAGCGCCUAUGACCUUCCUCGUGAAGUACCCGUCUUCGUACACCUCCUUGACACGACGACACGCUCGUCCCCAAAGCUCCGCCGCCUCCUUUUUCCAGGCGGCAUCACGGGCUUCACAGGCCGCCUGGUACCUGGCUUUCUCCUCCGCCAUCUCCUUCUUGAACGCCACUUACCUGGCUUUCUCAGCCGGCAGCAGCGACUUCUACAGAUAAAGAUUGUACUAGCCCCAAAACCAAUCCAAAGUUGGGGGUCUGGUGCAACCUCGUCAGGCGGCGCGUAGGGGUCCUCGUUGCUGCUAAUCGAGUGAGCGUCCUCAGGGGGCGGUGACUCCUCGUCGGCGCGUGGGCAGACUGGCGGCUCCAUGGCAGAGAUUUGAGAGAGAGGGCGAGCGAGGGCAGGAUGUAGAUGAGAAUGCAGGUGGGACGACGUGAGCAAGGUAGUAUUUAUUGGCGGCCGGAAUCUAGAUCGACGGGGACAGUACACACGCCGGUCGCCGGAAUUAACGAGUAUUGUAGUUUCAGUUACACGCAAUUCCCGCAGCAAAUUCAUGUGUGAACAUAGUAGCUGACGGUUUCCAAUACAGAACCGUGUCUGAUUAAUGAUCCACACCAAUCACCUACCAAACCUCGAGCCACGAGGUAGAGUGCCAAUCAUGUGGGGGGGUGGUGGUUUUCUUGCCAGAUCUUUACAUUUUCUUUUUUGAACACCAGAUAUUUACAUCGUGUGAUGAUUUUUUAACUCGCACACAAGUACACUAAAAUAUGAUUUUUCAAACCGUUUUGGUUAGGCGUUGCAUGUAGAUGUAGUUCAAAUUUGAAUUACGGUCAUUAAAUGGUUAGGAAAUCACUUAAAUGUCUUUAAAAGGUUAAAUGACCCCUGAAAUUUUCCAAAUUUUCACAUCACAAUUGUAUCAGUGCAUGUUAAACAUAGGAAAAAAUUGAAGGCAGUAAGAGGAAGCUAUCUCUCGUCCGUCAGCAAACAUGCAUUGUUCCCUCUUGGAACCACGAACCUUCUAGUAAGUUGCUCCGGUUUGUGAGGGGUGUGUGUCCAAACUUUCGUCAAACCUGCCAACUUUUCUACCACAUCAUCUUGGUGGCAUGACAUUAAAUCAAGCAAGGUCUCAUGUUUUUCUGAUUAUUUUUUAAUUUUUUAGAAUUAAAAUGCCAUGGCAUGCACUCGAUGCAUGUGCCCAUGCCUUGACACCAAUAUGUUUGAAAUUUCUUUAUAAUUUACUGCACAUGGGAUUAAUUCGCACAUAAGUACACAAAAAUAUGAUUUUUCAAACCGUUUUGGUUAGGCGUUGCAUGUAGAUGUAGUGCAAAUUUGAAUUAUGGUCAUUAAAUGGUUAGAAAAUCACUUAAAUGUCUUUAGAAGGUCAAAUGACCCUUGAAAUUUAUCAAAUUUUCACAUGAUAGUUGCACGUUAAAUGUAGGAAAAAAUUUGAAGGCCGUAAGAGAAAGCUAUCUCUCGUUCGUCAUCAAACAUGCAUUGUUCCCUCUCAGAACCACGAACUUUCUAGCGAGUUUCUCCAGUUUGUGAGGGGUGUGUGUCCAAACGUUCGUCAAACAUGCCAAUUUCUUUACCACAUCAUCUUGGUGGAAUGACAUUACAUCAACCAAGGUUUCAUGUGUUUCUGAUCUUUUUUCUAUUUUUUUGAAUUAAAAUGCCAUGUCAUUCCAUGCAUACGUAUGCAUGUGUCCAUGUCGUAAGACUAAUAUGUUUGAAAAUUCUUUCUAAUUUACUGCACAUGGAAUUAACUCGCACACAAGUACAUAGAUAUGAUUUUUCAAACCAUUUUGGUUAGGCAUUGCAUGUAGAUGUAGUUCAAAUUUGAAUUACGGUCAUUAAAUGGUUAGAAAAUCACUUCAAUGUCUUUAAAAGGUCAAAUGACCCCUGGAAUUUUCCAAAAUUUCACAUUACAGUUGUAGUAGUGCACGUUAGACGUAGGAAAAAAUUAAAGGCCGUAAGAGGAAUCAAUCUCCCAUUCGUCAUCAAACAUGCAUUGUUCCCUCUCAGAACCACGAACCUUCUAGCGAGUUGCUCCGGUUUAUGAGGGGUAUGUGUCCAAACUUUCGUCAAACAUGCCAAUUCUUUACCACAUCAUCUUGGUGGAUGACAUUAAAUCAAGCAAGGUUUCAUGUUUUUCUGAUCAUUUUUUAUUUUUUUUGGAAUUAUAAUGCCAUGGCAUGCACUCCAUGCAUGUGCCCAUGCCUUGACACCAAUAUGUUUGAAAAUUCCUUCUAAUUUACUACACAUGGAAUUAACUCGCGCACAAGUACACAAAAAUAUGAUUUUUCAAACCGUUAUGGUUAGGCGUUGCAUGUAGAUGUACUUCAAAUUUGAAUUGCGGUCAUUAAAUGGUUAGAAAAUCACUUAAAUAUCUUUAAAAGGUCAAAUGACCCCUGAAAUUUACCAAAUUUUCACAUGACAGUUGUAUUAGUGCACGUUAAAUGUAGGAAAAAAUUUGAAGGCUGUAAGAGGAAGCUAUCUCCCGUUGUUCAUCAAACAUGCAUUGUUCCCUCUCGAAAGCACGAACCUUCUAGCGAGUUGCUCCGGUUUGUGAGGGGUGUGUGUCCAAACGUUCGUCAAACAUGCCAAUUUCUUUACCACAUCAUCUUGGUGGCAUGACAUUACAUCAACCAAGGUUUCAUGUGUUUCUGAUCAUUUUUCUAUUUUUUGAAUUAAAAUGCCAUGUCACUCCAUGCAUACGUAUGCAUGUGUCCAUGUCGUGAGACCAAUAUGUUUGAAAAUUCUUUCUAAUUUACUGCACAUGGAAUUAACUCGCAGACAAGUACACAUAUAUGAUUUUUCAAACCGUUUUAGUUACGCGUUGCAUGUAGAUGUAGUUUAAAUAUGAAUUACGAUCAUUAAAUGGUUAGAAAAUCAUUUAAAUGUCUUUAAAAGGUCAAAUGACCCCUAGAAUUUUCCAAAAUUUCACAUUACAGUUGUAGUAGUGCACGUUAGACUUAGAAAAAAUUUGAAGGCCGUAAGAGAAAGCUAUCUCCCGUUCGUCAUCAAACAUGCAUUGUUCCCUCUCGGAACCACGAACCUUCUAGCGAGUUGCUCCAGUUUGUGAGGGGUGUGUGUCCAAACUUUCGUCAAACAUGCCAAUUUCUUUACCACGUCAUCUUGGUGACAUGACAUUACAUCAACCAAGGUUUCAUGUGUUUCUAAUUUUUGUUGGAAUUAAAAUGCCAUGCCACUCCAUGCAUACGUAUUCUUGCAUAUGUGUCCAUGUCGUGAUACAAAUAUGUUUGAAAAUUCCUUCUAGUUUACUACACAUGGAAUUUACUCGCACAUAAGUACACAAAUAUGAUUUUUCAAACCGUUUUGGUUAGGCGUUGCAUGUAGAUAUAGUUCAAAUUUAAAUUACAAUCAUUAAAUGGCUAGAAAAUCACUUAAAUGUCUUUAAAAGGUCAAAUGACCCCUAGAAUUUUCAAAAAUUUCACAUUACAGUUGUAGUAGUGCAUGUUAGACGUAGAAAAUAAUUUGAAUGCUGUAAGAGGAAGCUAUCUCCCAUUGUUCAUCAAACAUGCAUUGUUCCCUCUUGGAACCACAAACCUUCUAGCGAGUUGCUCCGGUUUGUGAGGGGUGUGUGUCCAAACGUUCGUCAAACAUGCCAACUUCUUUACCACAUCAUCUUGGUGGCAUGACAUUACAUCAACCAAGGUUUCAUGUGUUUCUGAUCAUUUUUCUAUUUUUUUUGAAUUAAAAUGCCAUGUCACUCCAUGCAUAGUAUGCAUGUGUCCAUGUAGUGAGACCAAUAUGAUUGAAAAUUCUUUCUAAUUUACUGCACAUGGAAUUAACUCACAGACAAGUACACAUAUAUGAUUUUUCAAACCGUUUUAGUUACGCGUUGCAUGUAGAUGUAGUUCAAAUAUGAAUUACAGUCAUUAAAUGGUUAGAAAAUCACUUAAAUGUCUUUAAAAGGUCCAAUGACCCUAGAAUUUUCUAAAAUUUCACAUUACAGUUGUAGUAGUGCACGUUAGAUGUAGAAAACAUUUGAAGGCCGUAAGAGAAAGCUAUCUCCCGUUCGUCAUCAAACAUGCAUUGUUCCCUCUCGGAACCACGAACCUUCUAGCGAGUUGCUCCGGUUUGUGAGGGGUGUGUGUCUAAACUUUCGUCAAACAUGCCAAUUUCUUUACCAAGUCAUCUUGGUGGCAUGACAUUACAUCAACCAAGGUUUCAUGUGUUUCUGAUUUUUUUGGAAUUAAAAUGCCAUGCCACUCCAUGCAUACGUAUUCAUGCAUAUGUGUCCAUGUCGUGAUACAAAUAUGUUUGAAAAUUCCUUCUAGUUUACUGCACAUGGAAUUAACUCGCACACAAGUACACAAAUAUGAUUUUUCAAACCAUUUUGGUUAGGCGUUGCAUGUAGAUAUAGUUCAAAUUUGAAUUAUGAUCAUUAAAUGGCUAGAAAAUCACUUAAAUGUCUUUAAAAGGUCAAAUGACCCCUAGAAUUUUCAAAAAUUUCACAUUACAGUUGUCGUAGUGCAUGUUAGACGUAGAAAAUAAUUUGAAGGCCGUAAGAGGAAGCUAUCUCCCGUUCGUCAUCAAACAUGCAUUGUUCCCUCUCGGAACCACGAGCCUUCUAGUGAGUUGCUCCGGUUUGUGAGGGGUGUGUGUCCAAACUUUGGUCAAACAUGCCAAUUUUCUUACCACAUCAUCUUGAUGGCAUGACAUUACAUCAACCAAGGUUUCAUGUGUUUCUGAUUUUUUUGGAAUUAAAAUGCCAUGUCACUCCAUGCUUAAUUGUGUCAUAGCCGUUAGACCAACAUGUUUGAAAAUUCCUUCUAAUUUACUGCACAUGGAAUUAAAUCGCACACAAGUACACAAAAUAUGAGUUUUCAAACUGUUAUGGUUAGCUGUUGCAUGUAGAUGUUGUUCAAAUUUCAAUUAUGGUCAUUAAAUGGCUAGAAAAUCACUUAGAUGUCUUAGAAGGUCAAAUGACCCCUGAAAUUUUCCAAAAUUUGACAUGACAGUUGUAUUAGUACUACAAAAUUUCUCGUUCAUUUAAAACACCAUCCGUUUGCACUUUAUUCCAAAUUCGUCUUUCAUAGCUAAUGAAAAAUAUCUACAACAUCACACAGUUGUUUUCUAGGAACCGUUUGCGAUGAAAAUAUCUGGGUCUAUUUAAGUCUCCCUCCUUAAGCUUUGCCGGCUCGUCUUCUCUAGUGCCGGCAACCCCCGAAUCCACGAAUCCCGAUCCCCAUUCCCACACCCCCUUCUUGCAAAGAUGACGCCGUGGAAACGCUUCGUGAAGGCUUGUACGUUGGCCACGUCCCCCCCAGCGCCGCCGCCUGCGCAGAGAGCACGGCCGCCUACGCCGAGAGUGCCGCCGCAUCCACAUUGAGCGUGGCCGCUUCCGCCGAGAGGGCGUCUGCUGCAGCUGACAGGGCAACUGCAGCAGCCGAGACGACUGCAGCUGCUGCUGCGACGGCGGCUGCAAACGUCGAGAGCGCUCGAGCUGUCGUCUGUGCCGCUGAUGUCGCCCUGGCCCGGGUCGAGGCCAUCCACGGCAAGAUCGAGGAUGCACAUACCAAGAUAUUCCAAGACACCUCGGACUCCAGCAUGUAACCCACGUCUAAAAAGGCGACGGUGGCCAUAGAGCACCUGCUUCCUCAUGAGGUCGCCGAGCGGGAGCUGGAGAUGCAGGAGGCGGCGGAGAUUGAGGAGCGCCGGGAGGAGGAGUUGCACAUGGACGAGGUCGAGGUAGAGAAGAGUCUGUCCAUCGAGGAAUCGGCAGUGGAGUAACAACGCGAGCUCUGGCGGAGCCACUACUACAAGUACUACAACCUUGAGGGCGGCGCCGAGGAUGAGGACGAGGACGAGGACAAGGACGCGGUCAACUUCAGCAGGGGGGAUGCAGAGUCCACCAACGGCGGCAUGUCGCCAGGACAAGUCAUCGAUGUCUCAUCUCACACCGGCGAUGCAUAGGCCGGCAUGGCGGCGAAUUUUUAAUUAUGCGUACUUAGGCUUUAUUUUUAAUGCUGGUCUUUUGUUAGAGCAAUGUUUAGGUCAACUGGCUCUGUGUAAUUACUAAAAUUUCUCGAUUCAGUAAGUGUGGUCUGUCUACUGUAUGCUUUUUUCUGUGCCCAAGUUAGCAAGCGAUGUUAAAUUAUGCAAUGAUGUACCCAGGGAAAUUUCCACCAAAAUUUGAAUUAUCAAACUCAUCCCAUGCGCGUAAAGCAGAAGAAUCGUUUGCGAUGCACACAAUCGUUCAAAGUGAAUGGUCUGGCGGCACCGCGCACGUUCAAAGUGAAUGUGCCCAUGCCUUGAGACCAAAAUUUGAAUUAUCAAACUCAUCCCAUGCGCGUAAAGCAGAAGAAUCGUUUGUGAUGCACACAAUCGUUCAAAGUGAAUGGUCCGGCGGCACCGCGCGCAAAGUUUCCCUCUACAUUUCCAAAAUUUUGGCCUAAUGCCAAAAUAUCUACCCCCGCCCCCUUCCCCACCCCCUUUUCUCCCCGACCACAAGUCACAUUUCCCUUGUUUCCUCCUUCCUUCCUUCCUUGCUAAGUUAUAGCUGCUUCCUCUCUCUCACCGUCUCGCAUCCUACCGCCGGGGUCGCCAUGGUCUGCUUCAAAGACAUCUCCAGCGGUUCCUCCUCCGGCGACUACUCCUUCACCACCCGGGUAUGCCUCUCUUCUCUCUCUCGGGAUAAGACUUGGAAUGAAGGAUUUUUACCCGGGGGUCGAUUUGAGUCGCUUCUUCCUCUUGUAGCUCCCUAAGACCAUCAGUGGCAACGAAUGGAGCGGGGUGGCUGAAGAUCUAUCUGCUCGUUGUCCCCAUCAAUCUCCAUGCGUGAAGCUAGUUGCGUUUGAUUCUGUGGACAGUGGGAGGAAGUUUCUGCCAUGUGCAGAGAAGGUUAGACCCUCUUUCGUUGUUACAAAUCAUUUGUUAUAUGUGAUUCAGACACUGUCACGGUCCCAACCCAUUCAUACCACACCUUCAACCAAACGCAUCCUAAGACAGUGUCACAGUUUGUACCUAGUAUCUUAAAUUGUUGCCAUCUCAUCGACGGUGCCAUUAGAAAAUUAUUUGGCACCGCUUCAGCAGUUUGUGCAGCCAACUUUGGUACACACAUUCGAGUAGCCAAGCAGUAAAAUACUAAAUCUUUAUGGCACGAAGGAACUAGGCAUCGGAGCAACUACAUGCUCCGGAGUUCGGGUCCCUGAUUUUUUCCGCUGCAUCGGCUCGCCAGUGCAGGGCACCGGUGCGAGAUGUAGGAGCAGUUGUCUUUACCCUAGUUUUGGCAUACAUAGUGGACGACCUUAGUGCUAUUAGUUCUAUGUUACUAAAUUUGUGCAUGCACACACUUGUUAGUAUCAAUUUGAUGUCAUCCAAACACUGUCGCUAUGCUGUUGCAGUUAUAUUUACCUUCCUCAUAAAAUGUUCAAUUUGUUAUUUAUUGUACAUGAGUAAGAACUUGUAGCGUCGUUGUAGUUGAUUAUAUCUUCCGAUGUUCCAGAAUUUGGUUGUUGUCUCAGUACCAAUUAUUUCAUUUGCACAUUGAUCUUUUUGAGAAGAUAUGUCAUAAUUAACAUGUUUCUUCAGUUUUUCAAAAUAAGCAUUGGUGAUUUUUCUAUAAACCCAUUUCCCCUACAAUUGUUGCUGAUCUAGUUUUAAAUAUUAUAGGAUGAACGGAAGUGUUCUUACUUGGAGUGGGUUGAUCAAGAGUGGCCACAGUCUUUGAAGAUGUGCCUAACGAAGCUAUGGAGCAUGUAUGAGGAAGAGAACACACGUAGGCUUAGAGAAAGUCUUGUCAACGCUGAAGCAUAUUUCAAGAUGCGGGAUAAAAAGUUGAAGGUGGAGAAUGAGCUCAAACUUUUUAAAUCAGACUUCGCUAAGAUGGUUUUGGCGAAGGAGGAGGCACUUUCCCAGUUGGCCCGUGCAAAACGGGUUCUUACUGAACUGAAAGCAGAGGUGGAUAAGGGAAAUGAAUAUAUUGUUCUUAUGAAGUUGAACUAGCUAUAUGUUGUACUGUUUUGUUUUCAUGUAGCUACCGUACUGUGAUGUUAUAAUAUAUUUAUGUGCUUGAUAUGAAAUUGGCAAACAGUUGUUCGAUAUGAAAUUUGAAUUUGCGUAAUACUGGAAUUAUUAAUUGUUAACUAAUAAACCUGCUAAAAUGUGCCAUGGAUCUUUGCAAAUGGUUCUAGCAGUAAAAACGCUUGCGAUGGAUAGCCCAAUGCCACACAGUUUUCUUCAUCAAAUCGUGUGUGAUAUAGUUGAUAAAAGCAAACAGUUAACCAAGGAAGACCGUGUGUGAUAGUUACACCUUUCAGACAUGAGCCUUCACAUAAAAAUGUGUGGGAUGUAUGUCUGAGCGGAAACGGUUUCCCUGCAUUGACUGUGUGGGAUGUACAUAAGAACGGAAACGUAUUCCUUGGAUUGACUGUGUGUGAUAUACAUACGAACGGAAAUGUUUUUCUCGGAUUCACCAUGUGGGAUGUACAUACCUAUGGAAAUGAUUUUCUCGGAUUACCGUGUGGGAUGUACAUACCUACGGAAAUGAUUUUCUCGGAUUACCGUGUGGGAUGUACAUACCUACAGAAAUGAUUGGGUUUCGAUGCCUCGCCCAAUCGCACACGACCCCAGCCUGGGUCCCAUGAGGGCUUAUCCCCGACGAUUUCUGGGUCAUGUGGGAAGGACACCCUAUCGCACACACUCACUUGGCGACAGUUCCAAAUGCCAUCGCGGAAAGGGGUUAAAAACCGUUUGUUUAGGACCGACGCGCACUAGUGAUAGAACCAACCACUGUUAGCAUUGUGCUGAAGUCUACGUGCAACAAUCGCUCCAAGGUUAUAAUUCCUUUCACCAGUGAGAGCGGUGUGAAGGCAGCUCAAGUCUGGCGCACAAAGUAUGCUACAGUCUUGCUUGCCUACUAUGCAUUUCCCAUUACAUAAUGCAAAAUACGGAAUUGCGGGAAAGUGAAUGCUCUUUAUUCUUCCUUGUCUCACUCCCCUAUUUUCACCGUAGCAAAGGAUAGUCAAGAAAGACUCGAACUUGACCGUUGGUGGCUCAUCAAGAGAACCCCAAAAUGGAAGUUUGCAGUGGUAAGAAAAAUUCUCCAGUGGGAUAGUAAAUGGUUUAUCAUAAAGCAUAAAUGACACCCUAGACUCACGUGGAAAAUAUUUAAAUCCUUUGACAAAUGAUUCAGUGAGAAGUUGGUGCUGUUCACACUUAUCUGAGAGGUAGGGACCGAGGCCGACAUUGUGGACAUAUUGCUCAAAUUCCUCCUUAAUGCCCACACACACACACACACCAUAUAUUCAUCGCUAGGCCAUAAACAUUCUUGGUGGCGGCAUCUCGCGUGGAACUUUCACUUGGUUCAACAUAAGACCCACGAGCAAAACUGUCACUAGAAGAUGCCCCCGAGAAUCGUCUCCUCUAAGAACUCCUUCCAACUAGGUUCAUCAUGUCCGCAUACAAUUUUCUGAAAAUAAAAUUUUUGAGAACUUUUGAGGCCAUUCUGAGAACUUUUAUUUUUGGGUCAUUUUUUAUUGCACGGGAAAUUCAGAAAAUAGACAAAACAUGGCAUUUUAUUUUAUUUAACCAAUAAAAACAGAGAAUAAAAGUAUGGAUAGAAAGUAGUGCUUACUAAAUUCAUCAACUUCAUACCAUUCAAAAAUGAUCCAUUAAUAAGGUUUAUCAAGUCUUAUUAGCAACCACUUCUGAUUAGCAUGAAACCGAAGAACUUUCAUAAAUCACUAAGUUACCUCAAUGGGGGUAUGCAUUUCCCCAACAAUAAGUAUUUCAUAUUUCUUUCUAACAGUAGGUGGAGGUAUUUGAAAACAUCCAAUAGUGAUUGUCGGAGAUUUUUCAAUAACAUUAAUACCAUUCACUUGGAAUUGUUUCUUUGGGAAGUGCAUCGUAUGCUCAUUGCCAUUAAUAUGAAAAGUGAUCUUGCUUUUAUUGCAAUCAAUAACAGCCCCUCCAAUAUUCAAGAAGGGUCUACCAAGGAUAAUUGACAUGUUGUCGUCCUCGGGCAUCUCAAGUAUAACAAAGUUAGUCAAAAUAGUAACAUUAGCAACAACAAUGGGCACAUCCUCACAGAUACCGAUAGGUAUGUCAGUUGAUUUGUCAGCCAUUUGCAAAGAUAUUUUAGUAGGUGUGAGUUUAUUCAAGUCAAGUCUUUUAUAUAAAGAGAAACGCAUAACACUAACACCAUCUCCUAAAUCACACAAAGCAGUUUUCACAUAAUUCUUCUUGAUAGAGCAAGGUAUAGUUGGUAUUCCCGGAUGUCCAUGUUUUUUGGGUACUCCAUCUUUAAAAGUGUAAUUGGCAAGCAUACUGGAGAUUUUAGCUUCCGGUAUUUCUCUCUUAUUUGUGAUGAUGUCUUUCAUAUAUUUUGCAUAAGGAGGCAUUUUCAAGAUAUCAGUCAAGCGAGUACGCAAAAAGACUGGCCUCAGCAUUUCGGCAAAGCAUUCAAAUUAUUCAUCAUCAUUCUUUUUAGUUGACUUAGGUGGAAAAGGCAUAGGUUUUUGAACCCACGGUUCUCUUUCUUUACCGUGUUUCCUAGCAACAAAGUCACUUUUAUCAUAUCUUUUAUUCUUAGGUUGUGGGUUAUCAAGAUCAACAGGUGGUUCUAUCUCACCAUCAUUCUUUGGUUCUUUUUCAUUGUUUUGUUGAGAGUCUUCAUGAACCUCAUCAUUAAAUUUUUCAUUAUCGGUAUGUGAGUGUUCAUUACCAGAUUGAGUUUCAGCAUCAGAGAUAGAAAUUUCAUUAUCAUUAUCAGGAGGUUUUUCUAUUUCAGGUUCACUAGAAGUGUGCAAAGUCCUAUAAUUUUUCUUUUCCUUCUUCUUUUUAGAAGGACUAGGUGCACUAGUGUUAGCUCUUUGUGAAUCUUGUUCAAUUCUUUUAGGUUGUCCCUCAGGAUAAAGUGGUUCCUGAGUCAUUUUACCUCCUCUAGUUGCAACUCUAACAGCAAAGUCAUACAUAUUAUGAUUCAUUUCAUCAAGUAAUUCUCUUUGAGAUUUAGCAACUCAUUCUAAUUGAGUUGGAACCAUAGAAGCAUGUUUUCCAACACCUCUAACAUCAUUUUAUAUUCUAAAUAACAAGUCACUCAAGCGAGCAAUCAUAUCAAAAUUGUAUUUCAAAUAUUUCAUAACAUUUGCAUUAAAGUAAUCUUCUUUCCUAAUGUAGUUUUCAAACUCAUAAAGACAUUGACUAUGAUGCAUAUUGUGAGGAUUGUCACUAUCAUUGAACUUCAUAAGUGAAUUUACCUCUACCGCCUUAGGCAUUGGUGGUGUAUUAAACCCGUGUAUUUCUUCAAUAGGAGGUAAAUUUUUAACAUCCUCGGCUUUAAUACCUUUUUCCUUCAUAGAUUUCUUUGCCUCUUGCAUACCUUCAGGGUUGAGAUAUAAUAUACCCCUCUUCUGCGGAGUGGGUUCAGGUGGUGGUUCAGGAAUAGUCCAAUCAUCAUAAUUUUUCAAUAUGUUAUUCAAUAAUUCUUCAGCUUGUCUAAUAUUUCGUUCCCUGAAAACACAACCAUCACAACUAUCUAGGAAGUCUCUAGAAGUAUUGGCUAGUCCAUUAUAGAAGAUAUCAAGUAUUUCAUUUUUCUUAAGAGGAUGAUCAGGCAAAGCAUUAAGUAACUGGCAAAGCCUCCCCAAGCUUGUGGGAGACUCUCUUCUUUAAUUUGCACAAAGUUAAAUAUUUUCUCUAAGGCAGCUUGUUUCAUAUGAGCAGGAAAAUAUAUUUCAGAGAGGUAAUAAAUCAUAUCCUAGGGACUACGCACACAGCCAGGAGCAAGAGUGUUGUACCAAGCUUUAGCAUCAUCCUUUAAUGAUAAAGGAAAUAAUUUGAGAAUAAAGUAAUAGCGAGUUUUCUCAUCACGAGUAAAAGGGUGGCUAUGUCAUUCAACUUAGUAAGAUGUGCCACAACAAUUUCAGUUUCAUAACCAUGGAAAGGAUCGGAUUCAACCAAAGUAGUGAACUCUGGGUCAAGAGAGAAUUCAUAAUCCUUAUCAUCAAUAAAUAUAGGUGAAGUAGCAAACUUAGGAUCACAUUUCAUUCUAGCAUUCAGAGAUUUUUCUUUAUAACUUUGUAGUAAUUUCUCUAGAUCAUCUCUAUCAUUACAAGCAAGAAUAUCUCUAGUUGUUUUUUCACUCAUAACAUAACCUUCCUGUACCUUAGGCAAUUCAUAUAUAGGAAGGCUAGUUCUAGCAGGUGUUUUAGGAGUUUUAGUUUCAAGCUCAUCAUCAGAUUCAACAACAUCAUGUUGUAUAACUCUAGCAAUUUGUUUAUCAAGAAAUUCACCAAGUGGCACAUCAUCAUUAUCAAGCAAGGUACUAGCAUCAUCAUAAGCAUUAUCCAUAGUAGAAGUAGCAUCGUCAAUAACUUGCGACAUAUCAGAAUUAAUAGCAUGUGGUGGUGUUGCAAGUUUACUUAUAACAGAAGAUGAAUAUAAAGCAGAACUGGAUGGCAGUUCCUUACCUCCCCUCGUCUUUGAGGCAAAUAUCUUAGUCUUAGCAUCCUUCAGAUUCUUCAUAGUGAUAAUAUGAUAAUAAUCCCAAUUGACUCAACAAAUAUAGCUAUGCUUCCUAGCAACGACGCCAGAAAAAGGUCUUGAUAACCCACAAGUAUAGGGGAUCGCAAACGUUUUCGAGGGUAAAGUAUUCAACCUAAAUUUAUAGAUUUGACACAAGGGAUCCAAAGAAUAUUUGAAGGUAUUAGCAGCUGAGUUGUCAAUUCAACAACACAUGAAGAUUAAUUAUCGGCAGCAAAGCGAUCAGUAUCAGAGUAGUUUGAUAGUUUUGAUAGUGGUAGCAGUAGCAAUAGUAACAGUAACAGUGAUAGCAAAUAAUUUGGUAGCAAGUGUAACAGUGAUGAUAGCAGCAGUAACUUAGCAGAAACAAUAUGGAAUAAAUUCGUAGGCAUUGGAUCGGUGACUUGUUGGAUGAUAUUCAUCAUGUGACAGUUAUAACCUAGGGCGAUACGACACUAGCUCCAGUUCAUCGAUAUAAUGUAGGCAUGUAUUUCGUAAAUAGUCAUACGUGCUUUAUUAAAAGAACUUGCAUGACAUCUUUUGUCCUACCCUCCCGUGGCAGCGGGGUCCAUAUUGGAAACUAAGGGAUAUUAAGGCCUCCUUUUAAUAGAGAACCGUAACAAAGCAUUAGCACAUAGUGGAUACAUGAACUCCUCAAACUAGGGUCAUCGCCGUGAGUGGGCCCGGAUGUUGUCACUCCAGGGUUGCCCUAUCAUAACAUGUAGUAGGUGACUAUAACUUGCAAGAUCAGAUCUAGAACAUGGAUAUAAUGAUGAUAACAUAAACGGUUCGGAUCUCAAAUCGUGGCACCCGGGCCCAAAGUGACAAGCAUUAAGCAUGGCAAAGUCAUAGCAACAUCAAUCUAAGAACAUAGUGGAUACUAGGGAUCAGGACCUAAAAAAACUAACUCGAUUACAUGAUGAAUCUCAUCCAACUCCUCACCGACCAGCGAGCCUACGAAGGAAUUACUCACUCCCGAUGGGGAGCAUCAUGGAAUUGGCGAUGGAGAAGGGUUGAUGAUGACGAAGAACGAAGAAACCCCUCUUCGGAGCCCCAAACGGACUCCGGAUCUGCCCUCCCGAGGAAGAACAGGGCUUAGCAGCGGCUCUGUCUCGUGGAUCGGGAUAAUUCUUUCUCCCUUAUUUUUCUCUCCGAAAAUCGGAAUUUAUAGUGUCAGGGUUGAGGUCUACAGGGCCACUAGGUGGGUACAACCCACCUGGGCGCGCCAGGAGAGGGGGCGCGCCCUGGUGGGUUGUGCCCACCCAGGGGCCCUUCUCUGGUAGGUCUUGGAUCCAGAAAUUCUUAUAUACUAUAUAAAAAUUCCUCGCAAAGUUUCGUUCCAUUCCGAGAACUUUUAUUUCCGCACAAAAACAACACCAUGUUAGUUCUGCUGAAAACGGCAUCAGUCCGGGGUUAGUUUCAUUCAAAUCAUGCAAAUUAGAGUCCAAAACAAGAGGAAAAGCAUGAGGAAAAUUAGAUACGUUGGAGACGUAUCAAGCAUAUUCGUCUUGAUGUAUCAUCAGUGGCUCACCCCCAAUCCAAUGGCCAAGUUGAAAGAGUCAAUCAAGAAAAUUUGAGAGGCAUCAAGCCCCGGAUUAUGGUCCCUUUGUAGAGGACACCGGGUUGUUGGGUGGAGGAAUUACCCUCAGUGUUAUGGAGUAUCAAUACUACCCCCAACAGAUCUACGGGUUACACGCCUUUCUUUCUGGUUUACGGAGUAGAGGCGGUUCUCCCUAGUGACAUCCGUCAUGAUUCGCCCCGUGUGGCAGCUUAUGUUGAAGCUGAUAAUGAAAAAGCACGUCAGGAUGCUCUUGACCUGUUGGAUGACGAGCGCGACCGUGCGACGGCUUGUUCGGUGAUUUACCAGCAAGAUCUGUGUCGUUAUCAUAGCCGCCGGGUUAAAACCAAGACCUUUCAAGAAGGAGAUUUGGUGCUCCGGCUCAUCUAGGAUCAAACUGACAUGCACAAGCUCUCCCCACCUUCGGAAGGGCCCUUUGUGGUCAGAAAAAAUCUGAACAACGGGUCAUACUACCUUAUCGAUGUUCAAGACCACAAGGACUCACGCACGUCGGAGGAGGAGACCCGCCGGCCGUGGAAUAUUGCUCAUCUUUGGCCUUAUUACACCUAAGCCACCGGCUCUUGUGAUGUACAUAUUUUGUCAAUGUAUAUAUUAUGAUGAAUAUAAUAAAGCCGGCAUCCCUGAUAAUUCAGGGCCUCUGUCAUUUCAUUUCUGAGAAUAUGAGUCUCUAUUGUCACUUCAUACGAUCAUGUAAUGCCCUCGAUGCGGCUAUAUCUCCCACGUGUCGAAGCACAACUUAGAGGCAUAACCGCAUUGAAAGCAAUGUCGCAAGUGAGGUAAUCUUCACACAACCCAUGUAAUACAUAAGGGAAAGAGAUACAUAGUUGGCUUACAAUCGCCACUUCACACAAUUACAUGAAUAAAGCAUUACAACAUCCAAAUACAAUCAAGGUCCGACUACGGAACCAAAAUAAAAGAAGAACCCCAAAUGCGACAAGGUCCCUGAUCGACCCCAACUGGGCUCCACUACUGAUCAACUAGAACGAAACAACACAAAGGACAAGAUCUUCAUCGAGCUCCUCCUGAGCUUGGUUGCGUCAUCUGCUCGGUUCAACGGCACCUGCAAGCUGGUUUUGGAAGUAUCUGUGAGUCACGGGGACUCAGCAAUCUCACACCCUCGCGAUCAAGACUAUUUAAGCUAUGGGUAAGGUAAAAGGUAUGAGGUGGAGCUGCAACAAGCGACUAGCAUAUAUGGUGGCUAACCUAUUCGCAAAAGAGAGUGAGAAGAGAAGGCAAAAGCACAGUCAGAAAACUAUGAUCAAGAAGUGAUCCUAGAGCAACCUACGUCAAGCAUAACUCCAACACCGUGUUCACUUCCCGGACUCCGCCGGAAAGAGACCAUCACGGUAACACACGCUAUUGAUAUAUUUUAAUUAAGGUCAACUUUAGGUUUUCUACAACCAGACGUUAACAAAUUCCCAUCUGCCCAUAACCGCGGGUACGGCUUUCGAAAGUUCAAAUCCCUGCAGGGGUGUCCCAACUUAGCCCAUCACAAGCUCUCACGGUCAACGAAGGAUAUUCCUUCUAGCGGGAAGACCCGAUCAGACUCGGAAUCCCGAUUAUAAGACAUUUCGACAGGGUAAAACUAAACCAGCAACACCGCCCGAAUGUGCUGACAAAUCCCGAUAGGAGCUGCACAUAUCUCGUUCUCAGGGCACACUCAGAUGAGCUCUCCAUACAACUAAAACCAAACCUCGAGUUUCCCCGAGGGGGCGCUGCACAGGACUCUAGUUUGGACCAACACUCAGAGGAGCACUGGCCCGGGGGGGUUAAAAUAAUGAUGACCCUUGAGUCUGCAGAACCCAAGGGAAAGAAAAAGGCUAGGUGACGAAUGGUAAAACCAAUGUUGGGCAUUGCUGGAGGAGCUUUAUUCAAGGCGAACUGUCAAGGGGUUCCCAUUAUUACCCAAACGAGUAAGGAACGCAAAAUCCGGGAACAUAACACCGAUAUGACAGAAACUAGGGCGGCAAGAGUGGAACAAAACACCAGGCAUAAGGCCGAGCCUUCCACCCUUUACCAAGUAUAUAGAUGCAUUAAUUAAAUAAGAGAUAUUGUGAUAUCCCAACAAGUAAACAUGUUCCAGCAAGGAACAACAUCUCCAUGUUCCAACAAGGAACAAACUUCAAUCUUCACCUGCAACUAACAACGCUAUAAGAGGGGCUGAGCAAAGCGGUAACAUAGCCAAUCAACGGUUUGCUAGGACAAGGUGGGUUAGAGGCUUGGUUCAACAAUAUGGGAGGCCUGAUAAGCAAGUGGUAGGUAUCGCAGCAUAGGCAUAGCAAAAGAGCGAGCAACUAGCAAGCAAAGAUAGAAGUGAUUUCGAGGGUAUGGUCAUCUUUCCUGAAAUCCUGCAAGGAAGAAGAACGAGUCCAUGAAGAAGACAAAAGGACAAAGACGAACGAAUCCUCACAAAAGCGACGUUACCGGAACCAACCCGAAGAAGCAAACACCGGAAAGAAGCACACAACAUAGUAAACAACCACGACAUGAACAUGGCAUGAUGCACAAUCAAGUAUGAUGCAUGUCCGAUUUAAUGAAGCAUGGCAUGGCAAGGGGCACAAACAAAACUACAAGUUAAGUGGAGCUCAAUAUGCAACGAGUUGCAUAUUGACGGAACACCACAUCAAUUAUAUAGUUCUCUCUCGUUUAUGUACCCAACAAGGUUAAAUGUUGAUUAACAUGGCAAGGGGUGAAGCAAAUGAAAACUACCUAUCUAGGCAAGUUUAAAUGAGGCCGGAACAACAAACAACAAGUCCGGAAAAAAAUCCUCAUAUGCAUAUAUUAGGUUUGGUACUGUUCUGCCCUAAACCAAAUUUUAUAGUUGUUAAACAUGCAAUAUGAGUGCACCAUGUUAAACUAGGCAUUUUUCCACCCCAAUUACAUAUAAAGUUUAUUAAAUUCAGAGUUACGGUUAUUUAGUUAUGAAUUAAGUCAUUUUAGCAUGGCAUAGGAGCAAAUUUAAACAAACAUCAUUUUAAACAUUUUAAACAUGGGUGAAAAUGACAUAUUAUGAAACUAGAUGAAAAUCUAAGCAAGUUUCAUAUAUUAAGUUUUUACAUUUGAUGCAUGGUUGGUGAGUUAUUAAAUGCAUGAAGAACAGGGACUUUUCUGUAAAACAGGCAAACUCUGGAUAAAUAGACAAAUUCAUAGAUCCUGAAAAAAACAUCAACGGGCUGAAUCUGGUGCACUGCUGGGCUGAAGAGAGAGGAGGGGCUGGAGCUAUGCUCACAUUGGGCCACUGGGCCAGAAGCGGAGAAGCGGUGACGGGCCAAGGGGGGGCACCGCUGGGCCUUGGCGGCAGAGGGAGCUGGGCCGCAACGUUCAUGUGCUGACUCGGAUCUGGUGGGAAGCAGGCCGGCUAGGUGGCCUGGGGAGGCACGAGCGUGGUCAACGCUCGCGGGCGCUGGAUCGGAGCAGGUCGACGCAGACGAACCCACAUCGCUGGGUGCAGAGGAACAGGAGGCAGAGGCGAGGCGGCGCCAUGGGACUUGGGAGCGAUGCCGAUCUGGCGACGACGGCGCAACGACGGGAGGCCGACGGAGGCCGGGAACGGGCGGCGGCGCUCCAGGGUUGCAGGAUUUGGCGACCUCCAUCCAUGGCAGCUUGAGGUCGGCGGCGCUGGGUGGCCUCUGGGAGACAGAGAGCUCCAAAUGAGAGAGAGAGAGAAGGACGUGAAAAGAGGAAGGGAUGGAGAAGGACAAAGAGAGGGGUCCUGAUAGAGGUGGUUGCCGGCGUCGACGAGGGACUCGAUCGGGAGAUCCUCUCCCGUUCCCGAUCGACGAGUCUGUCGCGAGAAGGUGGCCUCGAUCCGAUCUGGAUCGAGCGCUGCAGAAGGCUCGGGUGCGCUGGUGGUCGUCGGAUCCCCAUCUGGCGGCCACAGAUGGAUGGGUGGGAGGCUGGAUCUGGGCCGGAUUCGGUUGGUGGUGGAGGAAAAACGAGGAGAGGGUUGGUCCGGCGGCGGUGAAGGGACAGAUCCCCUAGGGAUUAGGGUUUGAUUAGAGUUUGGCCCGGUGAAUAUAUAGCAGGUGGACUAGGCUUAGGGGCUAUUCGGUCCAUCCGAUCAUAAUCGGACAAACCCGGAUAAUUAGGUUAGGGGGCCCAAUUAACAAAACGGAGACAUUUUGUAGAUGUUUGGGGAUGAUCCGGACACAAUGGUUGCAACAGUCUGGGUCGGGUUCAGGACAUCUUUCGGACGCGCGCGCGAGGAGGGUCGCGGUCUGACGAGAGAGGUUAGGUUGGGCUUGGCGGUAGGUAGUGGACUGUGUAGACGGUCUCGAGCUGAGAGAAGAGAAAAGAGAGAGAGGCCCGGAGACUAUUUCCGGAGACCGAAAACGUCCGACGUUAGACCGGCUAUAAUGCCGCUAUAGUUUAACGGUUGGGCUAUCAAACGAACUCUGAAUGCGAUGAAACUUGACAGACGGUCUAUCUACACUAUAAUAAGACCGCACACCAACUUUCAACCCAUUCCGAGAACAUUUUCCGGCCACUUAUAAAAUAAUAUUUCGGACAUGCCGCGGGCGCGUGCAAGUGUGUCUGGGCUCAGAACGGACAACAGACGGAACUGGGGAACCCAGACAGAUGCAAGUUUUGAAAACAUGCAGAUGCAAUGCGGAUGAUGACAUGACCAGAUGCGACACGCAAGCAAAUGACAAGGCAACAAUAGCGAAUAACUGGAAGACACCUGGCGCAACGGUCUCGGGGCGUUACAGAUCACUUGGGGGCUUCCUACUCAUUGAGCAUAGCUAUGACUACCCUAUAAUUCGGCUUAUAUGUUUGGAAUGAAAUAUUACUUGGGGGCUCCUACUAAUGAACAAGAGCUUUGUUGUCCCUUGUAAUAGGCUUGGACGCCAGGUGUAUUCACCAAAAAUCUGGGUUAUCCUGCCUUUGUUUGCCUGCCACUCCAACCAGGUCAUCCUAGAAUCACUCAUAGUACUCUUGACAAUCAAUCUUAUAAAGACCCUGAAUUUGUCAAGGUUAAAACAGGCGAUUGGUCAUGUGAGGUCCGGCUUACGGGUUUGAAUUAAGGUUUAACUUAGCGGUUGUGCGGCCCUUGAAUAACACUUGACAUUGAGGCUUGGCAGCCUAUGAAUGCCUUGUUUUUCUGAUUUAUAUUUGCUUUAAAUAUUUUUUGAGAUUUAUCUUUUCUUGCCAUAUUGAUAUAUGGUUGAAAAAUUGAUUAGGGCCAUGUUGCCUUAAUGGUCCAUAUAUGAAUCUAUCCGGUGUUUUGUUAACCCGGCCUGGCUUUGGACUUUAAGUUGCCAGUGUAUGAUGAUUAUGUGCUUGGAGUACUGGCUCUAAGCUUUGGAAUGUUACCCCUUGCUGCAUAUGGCGUUGAAAGCCGGCGGUAUGAAUAAAUUGAACAGGGCGUUGUGCUCUCCAUCUUUGGGCUGUUACACUUACUGCAUGACGCAUGAUAAGCUUGCAGUAUGAACAAAUAUCACAGGGUAAACCGCUAGGGCACCUGUUAUCUGCUUAUGCGCAGGAAAACAUGCUAAGUAUUGUUUGCAUAAUUGAUGGUAUUAUGAGCAUAAGUGGAAGAUCUUCAAAUAAUGGAUCGGUAGUGUUAUGAAAAUAAAACAUGCACGAUGGCACGACAAAUCAUUGUUUUAACUAGCCUAUUACAAGGCACCUGACGGCCCAAAAUGAUAAGUGUUUUUGAGACAUAGCAUCCAAAUGCUAUGGCCGGUAAAUCGAAUCAUGAAUUCAGACUUCUAGUCUUGAUGGGUUGAAGCCUCCGGGUCAUCCUGCGCUUCUUCUUCUUCUCCUCCUUGAUUAUCCAUUGGCUGGAAGUUAGGCGUAGCCCACUUGAUACUGGUCAAAGCUCUAAACACAGCCUCAUCAUCGAUAAGAUUUCAUGGAUCAAUGUCAGGAGCGAAGGUGUGCUUACGAGUCGGUGGGAUGAGAUCCACCUCUUGAUGAACCGACACCUUCACCUUCUUGUUAUCAACAUCAUAAGCCACCUGGUAUUGAGAGAGAUUUGUUUCUUCAGCCAGCUUGCUUGCUAACGGACGCAUUUCCUUCGCUAUUUGUGCAAAAUCAUCAGCGCUGAAGGGAGGCCCGUCUUCUUUCACACUGGGACAACCAUUGGCUAAAUCUUCUGGAUCAAGAUCUGCUUGCCAUGCCUUUGCCCAGCUUAAGGAAGUCAUGGUGCCGGCUCUAGCAGCUGCUCGCUUUAAAUCUUCAAUCCUUUGGGGCAGCACAGAUAGCCUCUCCAGUGUUUCCUUGAUGAGAGUGGGCGGAGGCUUCUUAUGAAUAGCGGCAGAGAUUGUCUGUUGAGCGCCAGUGUAUAGCUGUUCUACUAGAGUAUAGACAACCUUAAGCUUGAUGGGCAUGUCUGAACCCAACUUGGUGCUUCGGGAGCCUGCAUCAUAAAGUUAUUGGUAAACCGGGAGAUGAUUAUGAUAUAUUGUUGGUACAAAGGAAGGUACUUACCAAAGAUGGCCGAUGUCAUGCUGUUAAUUUGAUGCUUUAAACCAGACAACUCGUCAGUUACCGGUUUAAGGGCUGCUUUGGCAUCCUCCGCUCUUUUUAGUAAAGAUGCUUUCUCAGUCUCACAGCCGGUUCUAUCAGUGCUAAAGCUCCUCAAUGUUCUCCAAUGCAGUCCUCAGCUAUGGUUUGGCUUUUGAGGUCUCAUAUUGUUGAGUUUGAAUAUUGGCCCUCAGGUCAUUGACUUGGGUCUCCUUUUCAUUUAGUUCAGCCUGCAACAUGAACAACAUGGAAGGUAUUAUGAUCAUUUCUGAAAGUCCCAAGCAUAAUACAAGUAUUUUCCUUGGCACUUGGGGGGCUAAUGCCUAUUUCUCUUUUAAAGACAAGUUUAUAUCAUGACCCGGGCAAAAUGAUGUGAUCCGGUUGAUAAAGGCUACAUACUUGGAUUUUAUUUUUCAGCCAUGGUGAUAUGUCUCAGUUUAUUCAUGCUAAUUAAGCCGACCCUUGGGGGCUACCAUUGCAAAGUUGAUCACUGCUAAUUUGAAGUCCCGGCUUAACCUGAUAGUUUAAGCCGGCCCUUGGGGGCUACCAGUGCAAAGUUGAUCACUGUUAAUUUGAAAUCCCGGUUUAACUUGAUAGUUUAAGUCGGCCCUUGGGGGCCACUAGUUUUGAUUUUCAUAUAUUUAUGACUAUCUAGAAGUCUACAGUAUAUUCACUGCUAUCAUAUCCAGUAGACUUGGCGGCUGAUAUAUAUAUAUAUAUAUGGAUACGAUGAUAAUGUUUACCUCAAAACGCUCCUUCAUCAAGUUGACCAAGCCGGCUUCAAAGUCACGGCUGGUAUAAAGGCGGUUUAAGUAACCAGAGUGAAUCUCUUGGGCGCUGAACUAGGCAUAGCUUUCCAAGUCUACCUUCCACUUGCCUUUAUUAGCAACAGUAAAUUCUUCCUUGGCACCGUUCUUGGAUAAGGCAGUAGGGUUACCCGGCACUAUAUAACCAAGCCCGGUAAUGAUGACAUCGUAAGCUUUUUCUUCAGCGGGCUUGAUGGGACUGGGCGGCUUAAUGAUGACCAGAUCAACGUCUACAUGAUCUAUGGUAACGUCAUGCUCUUCUGGUGGCGGGUCAUCAAUGGUAGCUUCAGCGGUUUGACGAGAGGCCUCUGGCAAUUGUUUUUCCGGUUCAGAAGGGUUGGAGUCUUCAGCUCGCUUGUUCCGUUUCACCUUCUUGCUGGGCUUGGCCACGCCACUGAAAAUAAGAAAUACAAAGAUGUCAGCAUAUCAAUCAGGCAUGAAGUGUCAAAUGAUUAAAUAUUUCUUACCCAGGAGCAACUUUGAAGGCCGGAAUAUGAGUUCCAGUUGACUUGCCAGAUGAGGAGUGAGAUGUUCCCUGAUAGUUUGAAUGAGAUGGUUUAAGAGGUUGUCGAAAAAGACCCGCCUUGGGAUAAGCUAAGUCGGGAAUGUUUGAAACCUCCGAUUGACGCUUGCGAGGCGCUGGUGUGUUGGGUAAAUUCGAGGAAAGAAUUCCACCGCCGUUGUUCCGGGUUGUGCGGUGAGCUUCAUGUUGCUACUUCUUCAAAAUAAAUUUGGGAUCCAAGUAAGCUAAAGGGUGAGAAAAUCUUACUUUCCGGCUUGCUUGUCGAGUUUUCUGUGUUGGCAGAGGUUCUGAGCCGGAGGAAAGAGUAAUUACCUCUUCGUCAUCUGCACAGUUGGCCUCCGCAUCUUCCUGAUAAUGGUCAUUGUCAAUAAGAUGUACAAAGAAUGAACCAAGUGCGUCAAGUUCUACCUCUGACUCGUAAUCAUCAUCAUCUUCAUCAUCGUUAUUAUCCAAGUUGAAUAACUCGACGGGAUGGCUCUUCUUCAUGGCAGGCUUUUUGAUAGCUUUGCUCUUUGUCCGAGUUUUCCUGGUCAGCUUAUCUUGCAGCUUCUUAGUCCAAAAAGGUGAAUUGGCCUACAAGAUGUUAAAUAGGUAUGAAAAAGCAACCUGAGUGAAGGUGCAAUUCAAUGAUGAAGUUGGUGAAUAACUUACAGCUGGUUGUUUGUUAAGAACGCAGAAGGGAUUCAAUCUGACUUUACUGUAGUCUUCCAAGCUCUCAAUUAAUAGAGAUUUGAUCAUAUUAUUGAUGUCUUCGUCAGUCAAUUCAAUCUGACAGUGGCGUUGAGGAUCUGAUAACUCGCCAGUGUAUUCAUGCAUUAAGCUAGGACGGUGGCUUAGAGGCAAGACUCUCCAGGUGACCCAGCAUCGAACCAGAUCAAUUCCAGUCAAGCUGUUGGCCAUGAAGGCCCAGAUCUUUGAAAAAACUAGCAUAUACUUCUUUCGCUCUGCUGUACUCAUUGCGAUCUGGAAGAGUAUGCCUAUUGCUAAGUUGGAUGGCACGAUAACCUGGCAGAGGAUUUUCCCCUUCUGGUUUGGUUCCAGUCCUUGGGUAGACCGGGCAAGGUGACGACUGCGAAAGUGGCUUCUUUCUGUCGCUGUGGAAAUGCCACCUAGCUCUAGGAUGGGCCCAUCUGUGAAUUCAUUCUGCCGGUUUAAAUAAUAAAACUCCCUGAAUAGUUCUACGGUGGGCUCUUGUUGAAGGUACACCUCGCAGAAUACUUGGAAGUUGAAGAUGUUUGAAACGGAGUUUGGCCCGAUAUCUUGUGGAUGGAGCUUGAAGAAAUGCAACAUAUCGCGAAAGAAUAUUGAGUCGGGAGGACUGAAACCCCGAAGCAUAUGAUCAAUGAAGACAACUACUUCACCAUCCUUGGGCUCAGGAGGAGUUUUAGUGCAUGGGACCCUCCAAUGGAUGACAUCCUUUUUGGCCAGGACGCAUGUCUGAACAUAUUCGUUCAAGUAUUCCUCGGUGACCCGGGAAACGACACAAUUGUAGGCAGUGACAGUUUUGCCCAUUUGGGGAUUGAAAGCCUAAAAGAAAGAAACAUUACCGGUUUAAGAUUACAUUGUUAGACUGGACCAUGAAUUCAAAGGUAAGGUGCUAUAAAUGGCCGACAGGUUAAGCCGGAAGAUGAAUAUUGAAGUACGCAGAUAUGCAUAUUAGCGACUUAAAAGGGGACUAAUGGUACCUACUGGAUUAAGAUUUCUGCUGUUAAGCCGGAGAGUAUUGUCGGGUUAUGCAGGUUAUAAAGCAUAUGAUGGUAGUUUAAACAGGGCCUAGUGUUAUAUGGUGGAUCACGGUUUAUGGUAUAAGCCACCAUGGUAGUUAUGGUACUUCAAAUCUAUCAAAGGAAAUUUUGUCAAGUGAUGGACAAAAAGAUUUAACAGACUGGAGCUAUGAUUUUGGAUCCACAAGCAGUUCAGAAAAGACAGUAAAUUCUAAACCUAAGGUGGCAGCAGCAGAAAAGUUCGUGUGCUUCGAUGGGAUUUUCUAUGGAGAGGAAGUAUUCUGAUGUUAAAAACGAAUGCUAAACUGCUACUGCAUAAGUUUCAUAUCAUGUUCAGAUCAAAGGCUACUCGAACUAAAGGAGAAGACGAAGAAUGGUGAAGAACACCGAUGAACAAGGCUAACCCUAAUGCAGAUCUAAGGUUGAAGGAGAUGAACACUUACGGUUGCAGAUGGAUUGCGGUGGAGCGUCAACGUUCUCUGGACCCGUCAGGUUGAUGCAGCGGCCUGAGUUGGUGCAGCGGACGGAGGACGACGACGGUGGAGCUCGAGGCUGCAGAGGAGUCGUGAGAGGAAGACGAAGACGAGGAGGCAAGGGGGGAAAUGAAAAGAACCCCCACCCCUAUUUAUAAGGGGAUGGAUACAGGGCAUGCACGGGAAUCGAGGAGGCCGAAAUCAUCAUGUGGCUAUAUGAACGCCUCGAUUUUCAGAUGAUCAUUAAGAUAAGGAUCAGUUAAAGAUGUUCUGGGCCUCGUGCUAUGUUAAUGUGAAAUGACGUCAUGAUGGGUUAAGGAAAUUAUAUGAGCUGACGUCACAGUGGGUUACAGAAAAUUUGUUAAAAGGACGAUGCAAGAUUUGACAAGUUAGGUAUUGAAGAUUGAUGUGACCAAAGUUCAGAUCAACUUGGGGUCUAAUGUUGGGGAUAUAACUACUGGGUAUGAACUACCCAGGAGGGGCUGGGUCAUACCACUGGGGACUUAUCAAUGAAGAUGGCGGGUCAUAGCAAGCCCAUUGACGGCCCAAGACCCAGAGGUGACUUGAGGCCCAAGAGGAUGAACCGACAUAUGUAUAAAUUAUAUUGUGAGCCAAGCUUAGUUAGUCACCGAGCCAGACACGUUGUGUAUGAGCCAGCCGGGACUCUGUAAGUCGUCGGGCAUCAACCUAUGUAUUUAAAGGGGUGACCCGGUGAGAGGUUAUCUCAAGUAAAAAAUAACUGAGAGCUAGGUCAAGCGUUUUUGCUCCAUGGUAAUCGAAACCCUAGCAAUACAACACAAAGCAGGAGUAGGCUUUUACCUCGUUGAGAGGGGCCGAACCUGGGUAAACUCUCUGUGUCUUUUGUCCCAUUUAACUCCUUCAAGCUAACCUAGUUGUGAUGACUCCAUGACUAAGUCCUUGCGCUAGGACAUCUGCCGUGUCAAGUCCAUGACAAGUAAAGAUAAAGAGACAAGUAACCACAAGUAGGGAGCUAGGGUUAGGAAUAACUGCAACUCCGAGAGACGAGGAUGUAUGCCGAUGUUUACUUCCUUGGAGGGAAUCUACAUCACCGUUUAGAGAGGUGGGUGUUACCACGAAGGCUCACCCAAUUCUCUCUUUGAUAUAUCACCAUGAAGGCGAUUCUCAACCACUAGUGGUAGACCUUGGGGUGGUCUCCAAACCCUCACAAACUUUCCAGGGGUAAUCACAAUGAACAAUUCCUCGCUGGAAUACUCCUACCGCCUAGGAGUCUCCAACCUCCAAGAGUAAUAAGAACGAUGAGGAAAAGCUCAGGACUUUCUCAAAUCAUGAAUUCCUUUGGUGCAAAGAGGGGGGAGGAGUGGAUCUUUCACUUCAGUGGACAACUUCUCACGAAUGCUCUCAAAUCCCUUUGGUAUCAAAGAUUUGGUGUAUGAGGGUGUGAGAGAGAGUGAAAUGUGUUCUUGGGGAUGCUCAAGGUGAAUGGUCAACCCUCUCACGGGAUGGGUGAGACAUAUUUAUAGUAUCUAUGAAUAAGUGGCUGUUGGAGCCACUUACAAUCUUUAGGUGUCGGACAUCCGAUGUGUACCGGACGACCGAUGUCAACUAAGACAUCGUACAUCUGAUACUUUGACCGGUCGUCCGAUGGAGAGGAGAAGCACAGUGUACAUGAGGUGAGGAUGAGAACAAAGGAUAGUGGCUAGGUGCCACCGGACGCCCGAUAAAGACGGGUUGUCCAAUGAUUUGGCUCUGAUUAGAGGGCAUUGGAAUUCCGGUAUACACCGGUCAUCCGCACCACCGGACAUCCGGCAGAGACCAGACGUCCGUCAUUUUGGCUCUGGUAGGAACGCACGGGAUUUCCGGUGAGGAACUUAAAUCCGCCAUUUUGACUUUGUGGGAUAGUACCGGAUGUCUGGUAGACACCGGUCGUCCAGUGAGUAGAGAACAAAAUAUGUGAGUGAAGGAGAGGAGAAAAACCGUGGUUUUAAAGCCGAGAGGGCUGAAGCCCCGAAGCAUAUGAUCAAUGAAGACAACUCCUUCACCAUCCUUGGGCUUAGAAGGAGUUUCAGUGCCUGGGACCCUCCACUGGAUGACAUCCUUUUUGGCCAGGACGCUGAUACGUCUCCAAUGUCUCUAUAAUUUUUUAUUGUUCCAUCCUAUUAUAUUAUCUGUUUUAGAUGUUUAAUGGGCUUUAAUAUUCUCUUUUAUAUUAUUUUUGGGACUAACCUAUUAACCGGAGGCCCAGUGCCAGUUUCUGUUUUUUUUUCUAUUUUAGAGUUUCGAAGAAAAGGAAUAACAAACGGAGUCCAAACGGAACGAAACCUUCUUGAUGAUCUUUCUUGGACCAAAAGCAAUCUAGAAGACUUGGAGUUGAAGUCUGGAACUCCACAAGGCGGCCACGAGGCAGGAGGGCACACCCAGGGUGGUAGGCACGCCCCCACCCUCAUGGGCCCCUCGUAGCUCCACCGACGUACUUCUUUUGCCUAUAUAUAUACUCUUAUACCCUAGAUCGGUCACACAGAGCCAUGAAACCACUUUUCCACCACCGCAACCUUCUGUACCCGUGAGAUGGGGCCUCUUUCGGCGAUCUACCGAAGGGGGAAUCGAUCAUGGAGGGCUUCUACAUCAACACCAUAGCCUCUCCGGUGAAGCAUGAGUAGUUUACCACAGACCUUCGGGUCCAUAUUUAUUAGCUAGAUGGCUUUGAUACGUCUCCAACGUAUAUAUAAUUUUUGAUUGCUCCAUGCUAUAUUAUCUACUGUUUUGGACAUUAUUGGGCUUUAUUAUCCACUUUUAUAUUAUUUUUGGGACUAACCUAUUAACAGGAGGCCCAGCCCAAAAUUGCUGUUUUUGCCUGUUUUAGGGUUUCGAAGAAAAGGAAUAUCAAACGGAGUCCAAACAGAAUGAAACCUUCGGGAACAUGAUUUUCUCAAUGAACAAGACCCAGGAGACUUGGACCCUNNNNNNNNNNNNNNNNNNNNNNNNNNNNNNNNNNNNNNNNNNNNNNNNNNNNNNNNNNNNNNNNNNNNNNNNNNNNNNNNNNNNNNNNNNNNNNNNNNNNNNNNNNNNNNNNNNNNNNNNNNNNNNNNNNNNNNNNNNNNNNNNNNNNNNNNNNNNNNNNNNNNNNNNNNNNNNNNNNNNNNNNNNNNNNNNNNNNNNNNNNNNNNNNNNNNNNNNNNNNNNNNNNNNNNNNNNNNNNNNNNNNNNNNNNNNNNNNNNNNNNNNNNNNNNNNNNNNNNNNNNNNNNNNNNNNNNNNNNNNNNNNNNNNNNNNNNNNNNNNNNNNNNNNNNNNNNNNNNNNNNNNNNNNNNNNNNNNNNNCCACCCUCGUGGGGCCCCUGUUGCUCCACCGACGUACUCCUUCCUCCUAUAUAUACCUACGUACCCCCAAACGAUCAGAGACGGAGCCAAAAACAUAAUUCCACCGCCGCAACUUUCUAUAUCCACGAGAUCCCAUCUUGGGGCCUGUUCCGGAGCUCCGCCGGAGGGGGCAUCGACCACGGAGGGCUUCUACACCAUCACCAUAGCCCCUCCGAUGAAGUGUGAGUAGUUUACCUCAGACCUACGGGUCCAUAGUUAUUAUCUAGAUGGCUUCUUCUCUCUUUUUGGAUCUCAAUACAAUGUUCUCCCCCUCUCUUGUGGAGAACUAUUCGAUGUAAUCUUCUUUUUGCGGUGUGUUUGUUGAGACCGAUGAAUUGUGGGUUUAUGAUCAAGUCUAUCUAUGAACAAUAUUUGAAUCUUCUCUGAAUUAUUUUAUGUAUGAUUGGUUAUCUUUGCAAGUCUCUUCGAAUUAUCAGUUUGAUUUGGCCUACUAGAUUGAUCUUUCUUGCAAUGGGAGAAGUGCUUAGCUUUCGGUUCAAUCUUGCGGUGUCCUUUCCCAGUGACAGUAGGGGCAGCAAAGCACGUAUUGUGUUGUUGCCAUCGAGGAUAACAAGAUGGGGUUUUCAUCAUAUUGCAUGAGUUUAUCCCUCUACAUCAUGUCAUCUUGCUUAAGGUGUUACUCUGUUUUUAACUUAAUACUCUAGAUGCAUGCUGGAUAGCGGUCGAUGAGUGGAGUAAUAGUAGUAGAUGCAGGCAGGAGUCGGUCUACUUGUCUCGGACGUGAUGCCUAUAUACAUGAUCAUACCUAGAUAUUCUCAUAACUAUGCUCAAUUUUGUCAAUUGCUCAACAGUAAUUUGUUCACCCACCAUAGAAUACUUAUGCUCCCGAGAGAAGCCACUAGUGAAACCUAUGGCCCCCGGGUCUAUCUUUAUCAUAUCAAUCUCCUACUACUUAGUUAUUUCCUUUGCUUUUUACUUUGCCUUUAUUUUACUUUGCAUCUUUAUCACAAAAAUACCAAAAAAAUUAUCUUAUCAUAUCUAUCAGAUCUCACUCUCGUAAGUGGCCGUGUAGGGAUUGACAACCCCUAUUCGCGUUGGUUGCGAGGAUUUAUUUGUUUUUUGCAGGUAUGAGGGACUCGCGCGUAGCCUCCUACUGGAUUGAUACCUUGGUUCUCAAAAACUGAGGGAAAUACUUACGCUACUUUGCUGAAUCAUCCCUUCCUCUUCGGGGAAAGCCAACGCAGUGCUUAAGAGGUAGCAAGAAGGAUUUCUGGCGCCGUUGCUGGGGAGGUCUACGCAAAAGUCAAUAUACCAAGUACCCAUCACAUACCCUUAUCUCCCGCAUUACAUUAUUUGCCAUUUGCCUCUCGUUUUCCUCUCCCCCACUUCACCCUUGCCGUUUUAUUCGCCCUCUCUCUCUGUAUCCUCCAUCUCUUUCUCUAUUUGCCUCUUUUUGCCCGCUUGUUUUUUGUUUGCUUGUGUGUUAGUUUGCUUGAUUGUCACGAUGGCUCAAGAUAAUACUAAAUUAUGUGACUUCACCAAUACCAACAACAAUGAUUUUAUUAGCACACCGAUUGCUCCUUUUACCAAUGCUAAAUCUUGUGAAAUUAAUACUGCUUUGCUGAAUCUUGUCAUGAAAGAUCCGUUUUCCGGCCUUCCUAGUGAAGAUGCCGCUACCCAUCUAAAUAGCUUCGUUGAUUUGUGUGAUAUGCAAAAGAAGAAAGAUGUGGAUAAUGAUAUUGUUAAAUUGAAGCUAUUUCCUUUUUCACUUAGAGAUCGUGCUAAAGCUUGGUUUUCGUCUUUGCCUAAAAAUAGUAUUGAUUCAUGGAAUAAGUGCAAAGAUGCUUUUAUCUCUAAGUAUUUUCCUCCCACUAAGAUCAUCUCUCUUAGAAACGAUAUUAUGAAUUUUAAGAAACUUGAUCAUGAAAAUGUUGCACAAGCUUGGGAGAGAAUGAAACUAAUGAUACGUAAUUGCCCUACUCAUGGUUUAAAUUUGUGGAUGAUUAUACAAAAAUUUUAUGCCGGAUUGAAUUUUGCUUCUAGAAAUCUUUUAGAUUCGGCCGCGGGAGGCAAUUUUAUGGAAAUAACUUUAGGAGAAGCUACUAAAUUUCUAGAUAAUAUUAUGGUUAAUUUUUCUCAAUGGCAUACGAUAGAUGGAUGAAAUUAUGAAAUAGAAGAAAUUAAUAAGAGUGUUUCUUCUGAUCCUAAUGAAAAGGUGCAUGCGAUAGAAGAAAUUAAUGUUUUGAGUGGAAAGAUGGAUGAAAUUAUGAAAUUAUUUGCUAAUAAGAGUGUUUCUUCUGAUCCUAAUGAUAUGCCCUUGUCUACUUUGAUUGAGAAUAAUAAUGAAUAUAUGGAUGUGAAUUUUGUUGGUCGAAACAAUUUUGGUAACAAUGCAUAUGGAGGAAAUUUCAACCCUAGGCCUUAUCCUAGUAAUCCCUCUAAUAAUUAUGGUAAUUCCUACAACAAUUCAUAUGGAAAUUAUAAUAAUAUACCCUCUGAUUUUGAAUCUAAUAUUGAAGAAUUUAUUACUUCGCAAAAGAAUUUCAAUGCUUUGAUUGAAGAAAAAUUGCUUAAGAUUGAUGAGUUGGCUAGGAAUGUUGAUAGAAUUUCUCUUGAUGUUGAUUCUUUGAAACUUAGAUCUAUUCCACCUAAGCAUGAUAUCAAUGAGUCUCUCAAAGCCAUGAGAAUUUCCAUUGAUGAGUGCAAAGAAAGAACCGCUAGGAUGCGUGCUAAGAAAGAUGCCUUUAUAAGAGCGUGUUCUUCUAGUUCCUAUGAAAAUAAUGAUGAAGAUAUAAAAGUUAUUGAUGUGUCCCCUAUUAAAUCUUUGUUUUGAAAUAUGAAUCUUGAUGAUGAUGGGAUUGAAUGUGAUCCACCUUUACCUAGAAGGCGUUCCAAGAAUUCGGAAUUUUUUGAUCUUGAUGCUAAAAUUGAUAAAAGUGGGAUUGAAGAAAUUAAAACCCUAGAUGUUGCUAAACCCACUAUUAUGGAUUUCAAGGAAUUUAACUUUGAAAAUAUCUCUUUGAUUGAUUUUAUUUCCUUGUUACAAUCUGUGCUAAAUUCUCCUCAUGCUUACAGUCAAAAUAAAGCAUUUACUAAACAUAUCGUUGAUGCCUUGAUGCAAUCUUAUGAAGAAAAACUUGAAUUGGAAGUUUCUAUCCCUAGAAAACUUUAUGAUGAGUGGGAACCAACUAUUAAAAUUAAAAUAAUAGACCGUGAAUGCUAUGCUUUAUGUGAUUUGGGUGCUAGUGUUUCCACGAUUCCAAAGACUUUGUGUGAUUUGUUAGGUUUCCGUGAUUUUGAUGAUUGCUCUUUAAACUUGCACCUUGCGGAUUCCACUAUUAAGAAACCUAUGGGAAGAAUUAAUGAUGUUCUUAUUGUUGCAAAUAGGAAUUAUGUGCCCGUAGAUUUUAUUCUUCUUGACAUAGAUUGCAAUCCUUCAUGUCCUAUUAUUCUUGGUAGACCUUUCCUUAGAACGAUUGGUGCAAUUAUUGAUAUGAAGGAAGGAAAUAUUAGAUUCCAAUUUCCAUUAAGGAAAGACAUGGAACAAUUUCCUAGAAAUAAAAUUAAAUUACCUUAUGAAUCUAUUAUGAGAUCCACUUAUGUAUUGCCUACCAAAGAUGGCAAUACCUAGAUCUAUCCUUGCUUGUUAUGCCUAGCUAGGGGCGUUAAACGAUAGUGCUUGUUGUGAGGCAACCCAAUUUUAUUUUUAUUCCUUGCUUUUUGCUCCUGUUUAGUAAUAAAUAAUUUAUCUAGCCUCUGUUUUUUUUGUGUUUAAUUAGUGUUUGUGCCAAGUAGAACUGUUGGGAAGACUUGGGGAAAGUCUUGUUACACUUGCUGUAAAAAACAGAAACUUUAGCGCUCACGAGAACUACUGCCAUUUUUAUUUGGAAAGUGAUAUUUAGUUAAUUCUCUUUGAAGAUUAUUAACAGAUAAAUUUCUCACGUCCAUCAAUUUAUUUUAUAAUUUUUGGGGUUACAGAUCUUGCGCUAGCUAUAGAUUACUACAGACUAUUCUGUUUUUGACAGAUUCUGUUUUUUGUGUGUGUUGUUUGCUUAUUUUGAUGAAUCUAUGGGUAGUAAAAUAGUUUAUAAACCAUAUAGAAGUUGGAAUACAGUAGGCAUAACACCAAUAUAAAUAAAUAAUGAGUUUAUUACAGUACCUUUAAGUGGUCUUUUGUUUUCUUUCGCUAACGGAGCUCAUGAGAUUUUCUACUUUGAGUUUUGUGUUGUGAAGUUUUCAAGUUUCGCGUAAAGAUUUGAUGGAUCAUGGAACAAGGAGUGGCAAGAGCCUAAGCUUGGGGAUGCCCAUGGAACCCCCAAGAUAAUCUAAGGACACCUAAAAGCCAAAGCUUGGGGAUGCCCCAGAAGGCAUCCCCUCUUUCGUCUACUUCUAUCGGUAACUUUACUUGGAGCUAUAUUUUUAUUCGCCACGUGGUAUGUGUUUUGCUUGGAGCGUCUUGUAUGAUUUGAGUCUUUACUUUUUAGUUUAACACAAUCAUCCUUGCUGUACACACCUUUUGAGAGAGCCAUAGAUGAUUUGGAAAUUGCUAUAAUACUCUAUGUGCUUCACUUAUAUCUUUUGAGUUGUAUAGUUUUGCUCUAGUACUUCACGUAUAUCUUUUAGAACACGGUGGUGGAUUUGUUUUAUAGAAACUAUUGAUCUCUCAUGCUUCACUUAGAUUAUUUUGAGAGUCUUAAAUA
rnacentral:lncRNA from 1 species